UAUAAAUGUGUACCUUUUUCAUUGGGUAUUGAUUACUUUAUCUUUUGUGUGCCUAUUUGUUUAACACGUGUAUAUUUUUUUUUCUAGCAAAACUAUGCGUAUGCCAAAGCAUCUAGAGUUCUAUCUCCCUCCCCUGCAAUCUCUCUCCUUCUAGUUAUGUGGAUGUAGGUAUGUUGCAUGCACAAAAUUCCUAUGUUGAAUCCACUUCUUCUUCAUCUCCUGUGCCCAGGAGUGUAGACCCGUCUCAAUUUUGCAUUGAUGAGUCCUAUUAUAAGAGAGUACAACAAAAAAAUUCUUCUGCCACAUACCAACAAAGACCUCAAAAUUCAACUGGGUAUGAGACUAAACAAAAUGGAGCAACUUAGGUUUACAUGUAAUAGGGAUUUACAAAUUCAACAACAAAGUAUAGAUGCAGGCGCUAUCUCUUUUCGAAAAUCUUUGGAUUCAACCAACCUCCAAGCUGAAGAAACCCUUCAAUUCCAGGGCAUGGCUGCAGAUCUUGGGAAAUUGAAAACUGAGCUUAAUUAGAGAGGCAGAAGAUAAUUUAGUAAAAGCACUUACAGAUGUGUUGAAUUGGAAGGAAAGUAAUAAAAAGAAGAGCGUAAAGGUCUCUUUCUCACUAUGAAAAGUUCUCCAAAUGCACCUAAGGACGUUUUCAAGUUCAGUAGGAAUAAACGAGCGAGGAAUUGGAGGAAUUGAAGUUACUUGACGGUAUUGUGACUAUUGUUAGUUAGAAAAUGUUGAAACAUCGUCUUAGAUUUCAAGCACCAAGUUCUGAAAUUUUAUUGUUCUCCAUUUCAAUUGAUCUUGGAGUUGCACUUCAUAUGUGGAAGUGGAAAUUCGAGAAGACACCAACACACCUCCAAAGAAUAAAUAAGAUAAACAAAUCAUGGAAGAUCUGCUAUAUGGAUUAGUAGCUCAAGUGUUUUAUAUGGUAUUAUUGUUGGCAGGAUUCGAAAAAGAAAGUCGUACCUGCAUGUAACGAAUAUGACAUUUUUAUUUCAUGGAUUGGCUGUGAACACAACAAAUCAUGGAAGAUGUUGCAUUGGAGGUUAAAUAGAAAGUAAGUCAGUAUUGUUGUUGGUUCUCUCUUUUUAUACAUUACUCUGGGUGAUCUUUGCUUCUUCUCAAUUUGUUCUGUUAUACGGGUUAGUAGCUCAAGUGUUAUAUAUAUAUAUGGUAUUAUUGUUAGCAGAGCUCGAAAAAGAAAGUUGUAUAUUCAUGUAACGAAUAUGGUAUUAUUGUUUCAUGGAUUUGCUGUGACAUGCAGCAAAUCAUGGAAGAUCUUGCAUCAGAGGAACAGAGGGAAAGUAAGUCAAUAUUGUUGUUGGUUCUCUCUUUCUAUACAUUAUUUUGGGUGGUCUUUGCUUCUUCUCAAUUUUUUUCUGUUAUACCGAUUAGUAGCUCAAGUUAAUAUAUAUUAAGGAAUUCACAGUUGGCAUGAAAAAAGUUCACACCUCAAGGGGCUUGAUGUAGAUAGUCUACCCAUUUUCAUAUUUGAAGUAAUUAUACAUGAAGCACCUUAUCUUAACAGGUACUUGCAGAUUAUUAACAUAUUUGGUCAUUCAUGUUUUUCCUAGCUUGCAGCAAAUGUGGAUUACUCUUUCCUUCUCUUUCUUUUGUGUUGAUAUCUCCAUUAUCCCUUUUUGCUCUCAAAUCAAUCUGUUGAUGGAAAGUACUGCACCAACUAAGCAUAUCAAAUAUUUUUUUAUAGUGUCUUAUAAGGUUCAUCAGAUAAAAUAAUAGAUGCAAUAGCAUCAGUUGCACUAGCUGAAGUUUAAUUAUUGGUAGACAUUGUUUAUGUGGGAAUUUAUCAAAAGAAGGAAUAAAAAGUUGCCUCACAUCUCCCGGCAUCUUCUGAUCUAUCCCAUCUACCCGAUCUUGGUAAUUAUAAAUCUCACUUCUUUUUAGUUAUACUUUGGUAUUUCUUUUGUUGCAUCUUUCCUAUUUUCAAAUUUUAAAUUUACAGUAAAGUAAGCAUUUGAAGUUUGUUUUGUAUUUGAGAGGCAUUGCUGCUAUCUCGCUGUCUGCAAACAGAUUCUACAAGAUAUACAUCUUGGUACAGAGAUGAUUUGUCAAUAACAUGUUGCACUUAUCAUCCAAGAACCUCAUGUGCUUCCUGAGAAAGGUUUCCUCUUUUAUUAACUUAAUGCUGCCAAUGUGUUCCCUCUGCAAAUGUGUACAGACCAAGUCUGCCUUUAAACAUCUUUUGUAUUUUGUUUGCCAGCUGUCAGUCACCAUGUUCGACCAACUCAACCCCAAGACAAUUUAAACAAAGGAAAAAGUAUACAAUCCUCUGACCAUUUCUCUAACAAGUAAGCCUGCUCUUUCCAUUACGUGUUCCGUAUGGCAUAUUGAUCGUCGCAAUAUUGUAAAUUUUCCAUUAUUACUAAUUUGACAUUGCUAAUCUAUUUUCUCUAACAACAUGUAUAAUACCCGACUUAUCUAAAUUUGCCUACUUACAUUUUAACUUCAACCUUUAAACAUAAGAGAACUGCUUAAUUUGUAUCUAAAAUCUUUUGAUUUUGUCAUCUUGAUAUAAAUAUGCAAUUUAUGUAAAUAGUGAAGUUGAUAUCUUAAUAGGAGC